CCCUUAGACGUUCUGGGCCGCACGCGCGCUACACUGACGAAGGCAACGAGCUUUCCUUUACCGAAAGGUACGGGUAAUCUUUUGAAACUUCGUCGUGCUGGGGAUAGAUCCUUGCAAUUUUUGAUCUUAAACGAGGAAUGCCUAGUAAGCGCAAGUCAUCAACUUGCGUUGAUUACGUCCCUGCCCUUUGUACACACCGCCCGUCGCUACUACCGAUUGAAUGGUUUAGUGAGGCCUUCGGAUCCGCGACUCGUUUGUGGAGAAGUUGGACAAACUCAGUCAUUUAGAAGAAGUAAAAGUCGUAACA
rnacentral:rRNA from 1 species